GAUGAACGCUGGCGGCGUGCCUAAUACAUGCAAGUCGAACGAAUCUUCUUCGGAAGAUGAGUGGCGAACGGGUGAGUAAUACAUAGGUAACCUGCCCCUGUGCGGGGGAUAACAGGAGGAAACUCCUGCUAAUACCGCAUAGCCAUGAGCACCGCAUGGAGCUCAUGCCAAAUAUCCUUCAGGGGAUAGCGCAGGGAUGGACCUAUGGCGCAUUAGCUAGUUGGCGGGGCAACGGCCCACCAAGGCAACGAUGCGUAGCCGGCCUGAGAGGGCGGACGGCCACAUUGGGACUGAGACACGGCCCAGACUCCUACGGGAGGCAGCAGUAGGGAAUUUUCGGCAAUGGGGGAAACCCUGACCGAGCAACGCCGCGUGAGCGAAGAAGGCCUUCGGGUCGUAAAGCUCUGUUGUAAAGGAAGAACGUCGCAUGCAGGAAAUGGUGUGCGAGUGACGGUACUUUACCAGAAAGCCACGG
rnacentral:rRNA from 1 species